GAUGAACGCUAGCGGAAGGCUUAAUACAUGCAAGUCGAGCGGUAGGUGGCUUCGGCCAUUGAGAGCGGCGCACGGGUGAGUAACGCGUACAUGACCUGCCUGUCAGAAGGGGAUAGCCCUGGGAAACUGGGAUUAAUACCCUAUGGUAUUGAUAUUAUGAAUGAUAUCAAUUAAAGUUGAGGCGCUGACAGAUGGAUGUGCGUCUGAUUAGCUAGUUGGUAGGGUAACGGCCUACCAAGGCGACGAUCAGUAGGGGGCUGAGAGCGUGGUCCCCCACACGGGUACUGAGACACGGACCCGACUCCUACGGGAGGCAGCAGUAAGGAAUAUUGGUCAAUGCCCGCAAGGGUGAACCAGCCAUUCCGCGUGGAGGAUGAAGGCCCUAUGGGUUGUAAACUUCUUUUAGAUGGGAAGAAAAUGCUAGAUGUAUCUGGUACUGACGGUACCAUCAGAAUAAGCACCGGCUAACUCCGUGCCAGCAGCCGAC
rnacentral:rRNA from 1 species